rnacentral:rRNA from 1 species
GACGAACGCUGGCGGCGUGCCUAAUACAUGCAAGUAGAACGCUGAAGAGAGGAGCUUGCUCUUCUUGGAUGAGUUGCGAACGGGUGAGUAACGCGUAGGUAACCUGCCUUGUAGCGGGGGAUAACUAUUGGAAACGAUAGCUAAUACCGCAUAAUAAUGGAUGACCCAUGUCAUUUAUUUGAAAGGGGCAAAUGCUCCACUACAAGAUGGACCUGCGUUGUAUUAGCUAGUAGGUGAGGUAACGGCUCACCUAGGCGACGAUACAUAGCCGACCUGAGAGGGUGAUCGGCCACACUGGGACUGAGACACGGCCCAGACUCCUACGGGAGGCAGCAGUAGGGAAUCUUCGGCAAUGGGGGCAACCCUGACCGAGCAACGCCGCGUGAGUGAAGAAGGUUUUCGGAUCGUAAAGCUCUGUUGUAAGUCAAGAACGAGUGUGAGAGUGGAAAGUUCACACUGUGACGGUAGCUUACCAGAAAGGGACGGCUAACUACGUGCCAGCAGCCGCGGUAAUACGUAGGUCCCGAGCGUUGUCCGGAUUUAUUGGGCGUAAAGCGAGCGCAGGCGGUUUGAUAAGUCUGAAGUUAAAGGCUGUGGCUCAACCAUAGUUCGCUUUGGAAACUGUCAAACUUGAGUGCAGAAGGGGAGAGUGGAAUUCCAUGUGUAGCGGUGAAAUGCGUAGAUAUAUGGAGGAACACCGGUAGCGAAAGCGGCUCUCUGGUCUGUAACUGACGCUGAGGCUCGAAAGCGUGGGGAGCGAACAGGAUUAGAUACCCUGGUAGUCCACGCCGUAAACGAUGAGUGCUAGGUGUUGGAUCCUUUCCGGGAUUCAGUGCCGCAGCUAACGCAUUAAGCACUCCGCCUGGGGUGUACGACCGCAAGGUUGAAACUCAAAGGAAUUGACGGGGGCCCGCACAAGCGGUGGAGCAUGUGGUUUAAUUCGAAGCAACGCGAAGAACCUUACCAGGUCUUGACAUCCCGAUGCUAUUUCUAGAGAUAGAAAGAUACUUCGGUACAUCGGUGACAGGUGGUGCAUGGUUGUCGUCAGCUCGUGUCGUGAGAUGUUGGGUUAAGUCCCGCAACGAGCGCAACCCCUAUUGUUAGUUGCCAUCAUUCAGUUGGGCACUCUAGCGAGACUGCCGGUAAUAAACCGGAGGAAGGUGGGGAGGACGUCAAAUCAUCAUGCCCCCUAUGACCUGGGCUACACACGUGCUACAAUGGUUGGUACAACGAGUUGCGAGUCGGUGACGGCAAGCUAAUCUCUUAAAGCCAAUCUCAGUUCGGAUUGUAGGCUGCAACUCGCCUACAUGAAGUCGGAAUCGCUAGUAAUCGCGGAUCAGCACGCCGCGGUGAAUA